rnacentral:lncRNA from 12 species
AUGCAUAUACUGCUGUCAUGCUGGAGCAGGUUUUGUUCUGGGAUGAGUUUACUUCAGAGGGGCGUCGGACUGGGGGUAAAACCAGUACUGAUUACCAGGGCCCCAAAGGAAGAGAGGGCCCUUGAAAAGUCUGGAAUAUAUUUUAUUUUACCUGGAUAUUUUCAUUGGGGGGUCAUGGGGGCCCAUCAGGACUGCCUGUGCAUAGUGCCCGGGAUCUUGUGCAAUGCCCCGAUCAUAUCAUCGUAUUAUUUACUGCCAUGCGAGCCACAAAUGUAAAGCUUGGCUAGUCGCACAACGAGUAACACUGCUGCAGGUUGCUUUUUUGGUGGGUGGUCUUGUUCAUUUCGUAGUGCGAAACAUCUCUCUCACUCGGCAGCAUGUCUCUAUGGCAGACGCGAGGGGUAGGGUUGAGCCCAUUUGGGAACUAUGGGAGUCCUGAGUGGAGCGUCGGUGGAUGUUAAAAAGAAAACAAGCAAACAUUCAAACAAAUCGAUGUAAACUACACAUUUGAGUUAAUCGAUAAAAUCGAUUUAUCGCCCAGCCCUACUACAAGUGCAUAUUCAUUACAUUUUAUGUCCUUAUUUUUCACAAGGAAAAUUAUACUGGAACAACAGUCUGGGCUGUGAGAUGAGAACAGAGACACACUGAGCUUUAACCACUAACCAUCAACCACCUGCUGACUGACGAGAAAACAUCAUUAGCUUGCGAGGGACAAAGACAAACUGAAC